CAAAAACGACAACGGCAAGUGAAGCAAAUAGCCGCAGGUUGCGACCGCACUUGCACCGCACACAAUGUGGCAGUGCACUCCCAGACAGUGGAACCCUCCCCGCGACGACCGCGCUGCGCAAAUUAGCAUCUGGUUAACAAGUGCGCCGCGGUUAAACGGUGAAAAUCUACGACUCUUGCUGGCGCAGCAUAAUUAGAAUCAAUUAUAUUGAAUUGGAGCAGAGCAUACAGUGAGUGCAAGAUGACAGCGGACAUGCAGAAUGCUUUGAUAAAAAAUUCGUGCUCUUUAUAUUAUUUAAUGAAGAAUUUCGAUGUUUUUGAUCCAAUUUCAGCAUAAUUAAAAUGAGGGCUAAAUGGGUGUGGUAUGCUACGGGCACACUUUAUUAUCAA